UCGAAUUCUGCACUCUGGACUCCUACGGACCAAGAUGAUCAACUCUGAGGAAGAAAGGCAAUGAGGACGUUGCACAAGACAGUCCCUGAUACCCAGAGUUUACUGCCUAAGAGAGGAUACAUCCUUCAAACCAAUAAUCUGCUAAUAGCAAGAUCCAAUAGCUUCAUGGAUAUUGAAAGAAACUGAGAAUCAAAUUUGCAUACUUCUGAGUCACUUGGAAACAAAAAACAAGUACAGUCUUAGAUUCUGAGGGAACAAAAAUUAAAAAUCACAUUAGGAAGAGAAUUCCUAAUGUAGGAACUCAUCCUGGAAGAUUCUUCAGCAAAAGUACAGACAAUAAUAAUAAUACUCCAUGAAGUUACCAUCGAUAUUGAAUGAAUUAAUGAAUGUAAAAACCUCAAAACCCUGCCUGGCCCAGAGCUUUGGAAUGGGUUUGGAUCUACCACUCAACUGCUUUAUGACUUCAGACCAGUUAUUUAAAUUCCCUGAAGCUCAGUUUCCACAUCUUUGAGUUUUUAUUAAUGACCUGCCGACAUCAUACAGUUCAUGAAAUGCUCUGGAUGUGUACAUGCUGAUGAUACGACCUCAGACCCAGCAAGAGCUCAGUGCAGCCCGGAGAGCUGUGAGCAGUGCCACAGGAGGAGAUGACUGGUGAGUGAAAUAAGCAAGAUAGGAGUUGAAGUGUACAUGAAGCAGAGUCCAAGCCUUCUCCUUCUGGAUGUUCAGCUGGAUCAUCCUGACUGCUCCCACUUUCAUCUUGGCUUUCAAAGGCAAGAGGAAAUUAUAAGGAAUAUUCUGAGUGGCUUUCAUCCAGGAGUUCUGUGGGACCCGCAACACCUGGAUGGUAGAUGCAAACAGAUAAAGAAUAUUGGUCACCAAAAGGAGUUCUUUUCAUCAUAGAUCUCUGAAGGUAGACACCUAUUUGCAGACUUCUCAAAGGGCUAUAUGGAUGUGCUCUACUUGUUGGAGGAUUGUCCAUCCACUCUUCUUCCUGUACUUACCAGGACAGAACAGCCGCAACUUCUCAGACAGUUCAUUCUUCUUUUCCUCACCUACUACCAUCUAAGAAAGGUACUUGAUGACUGUGGCUUUAGACAAGAGUCCUUUUCUUACCACAGGGUGGGCAGCACCAGCUCAUUAGAACCAUUUGUGUGACUGACUGAAGACAGCUCACCUUGGAACACUGCAGAAUAUGGCGUAAGUGACAUUUUACAAGUUCCAGAGCCUGGGACUCAAGAUGUCUUGGAGAUUCUGUCUUUGCAGUCUUAUAAUGAUGCCCUGAGAUCAUCAUUAAAGAAAGCCAGUCUGGCCUACUGAGGAUGAGAAGCUACAUAAAGGAGAAUGAAGAUUCCCCAGCCAACAGGCAAUAUCAGUGGUCAGAUAUGUGAAUAAAGCCAUGUUGAACCUCUCGGCUAGACGACCCUCCAGCAUAUGAAACCAGCAGAUGAAUAUCCCAGCCUGCCUGAAGAACUGUACAGGAAAUAAGAAAUCAUUGUUUUUUAAGCCACUGGGUUGGUGGGUGGUUUGUUACAUUGAAAUUGUUAACUAAAACAGAAAUUGGUGCAUAGAGGUCAGGUGCUGUCAUAAUAAAAAUCUAAAACAUAUACUGUUGGCUUUGGUGAUGGGAGUGAUUGGUAGCUAAAGAGGCAGUGAAACAAUGAUUAGUAGAUACUGGGAAGUUAAUAAGGAAAUUUCUAUUGGAGGGUGGAGAAAGGGCCACCCUUGUUAUAUAGUGGCCAAAGAAUCAGCAAAAUGUUGCCUGCUGCAACCUGGAAAGUAGAAACUUUUCUUAAACUCACGGAUCUGGCUGGGAGAUUUCCAGGAUGCAUGCAACAAAUGUGAAUCAACUUUGUAUAGCUGUGUAUAAUAAAGUGUGCUGUAUUUGUCCAUUCUGAUGCUGCUAAUAAAGACAUACCUGAGACUG
rnacentral:lncRNA from 1 species